UACUUCUUAUUGUGUAGCUGUGUUUCUUGUAAAUGUCAUUUAUUAAUCUUUUUUUAAAUUAAAUGUUUUUUAGGAAAGUGAAAGUGAAGAAGAUGACCUUGAUGAAGUCGAUGAUGACAAUGAUGAUGAAAAUGACCAUGAACCAGAACCACCAGCAGAAAAGGAGCCAGCUGUUGAAAAGCCCUCUGAAGUUUUGCCGCCCAAAGAAGCCGACAGACAACUUUCGAAGAAGGAACUGAAGAAAAAGGAGCUUGCAGAACUUGAAGCUGUUCUUGCUGAAUUGGGUCUAAACGGCAAUAAUACCCAAGAAGACACCCGUGGUAGUGUUCUAGAGAAAGUUGAGAACCAAAACGGGGAGCACGAGAAAAAAGAAAAAAACGUGCAAGGCGGCGAGAGCAAAAGUGCAAAAAAGAAAAAGAAGAAAGAUAAAUCUUCAAAGGAAACCAAAGAACAACAAGACCUCACAAAUGAACCCGACCCCGUGAAUUCUGAAUCUACUGAAUCCGAGAAGGCUGAAAAUUUAUCUGCAAUCGAUGUCAAAGAGAAAAUGAAAAAGGUGGCUUCCAUGAAAAAGAAGAAAUCCAGCAAGGAAAUGGACGUCGCCGCCAAGGCUGCUGCUAGUGAGGCCGCGGCAAGAAAUGCACGACUUGCUGCAGCUAAAAAGAAGGAGAAGAGCCACUAUAACCAGCAGCCUGUUCGCUAAGUUUUUUCUUUACAGUUUAUGAUAUAUAUAUAUGUCUAUGCUGUAGAUUGCAUGUUUAAUAAAACCUAUGGUCGUCUUCGGUGACAUUUUGAGAAGUGUUCACAUAGCGAAAUUUUACAGUAUUUUUUAGUAGUUUUCUGGUUUUUACUUUCUAAAUUAUAGAAUUUAUAGUCCUGUUUGUGCGGUUGGUAGAAAGUGAAAAAGACCCUUUCAUGGAUGAAACUGUUUUAGAAUUCCAGUUUUUGUUUAUCUUUGGAUGAUGAUUUGUUUCCUCUUUCUUCUAUUUAUGUGAAUUGGGAAGUUUGUAA